rnacentral:rRNA from 1 species
ACUCCUACGGGAGGCAGCAGUGGGGAAUUUUGGGCAAUGGGGGAAACCCUGAUCCAGCAAUACCGCGUGUGUGAAGAAGGCCUGCGGGUUGUAAAGCACUUUCAAUUGUGAAGAUUGGGUACAUUGUUAAUACCUUUGUAGCCUGACGUUAACUUUAAAAGAAGCACCGGCUAACUCAGUGCCAGCAGCCGCGGUAAU